rnacentral:rRNA from 1 species
UACAGAAGGUGCGAGCGUUAAUCGGAAUUACUGGGCGUAAAGGGUGCGUGGGUGGUUUUGUAAGUUAGGUGUGAAAGUCCCGGGCUUAACCUGGGGAUUGCGCCUGAUACUGCAAAGCUAGAGUACUGUAGAGGAAAGUGGAAUUUCCAGUGUAGCGGUGAAAUGCGUAGAUAUUGGAAGGAACAUCAGUGGCGAAGGCGACUUUCUGGACAGAUACUGACACUGAGGCACGAAAGCGUGGGGAGCAAACAGG